rnacentral:snRNA from 1 species
CUCGUUUCAGGAGUUGUACUACAACUAGAAUAUUACAGAGGUGAUUAGCAUGUCCAUUGUACAAGGAUGACACUCAAAUUCAUGAGGUGUUCCAUAUUUUU